rnacentral:rRNA from 1 species
AUUGAACGCUGGCGGCAUGCUUUACACAUGCAAGUCGAACGGUAACAGGGAGCUUGCACCGCUGACGAGUGGCGAACGGGUGAGUAAUGCGUCGGAACGUGCCGAGUAGUGGGGGAUAACGCAGCGAAAGUUGUGCUAAUACCGCAUACGUAUUGAGGUAGAAAGUGGGGGACCUUCGGGCAUCACGCUAUUCGAGCGGCCGACGUCUGAUUAGCUAGUAGGUGAGGUAAAGGCUCACCUAGGCGACGAUCAGUAGCGGGUCUGAGAGGAUGAUCCGCCACACUGGGACUGAGACACGGCCCAGACUCCUACGGGAGGCAGCAGUGGGGAAUUUUGGACAGUGGGCGAAAGCCUGAUCCAGCCAUGCCGCGUGUCUGAAGAAGGCCUUCGGGUUGUAAAGGACUUUUGUCAGGGAGGAAAUCCCUAGUGCUAAUAACACUGGGGGAUGACAGUACCUGAAGAAUAAGCACCGGCUACUACGUGCCAGCCGCCGCGGUAA